rnacentral:lncRNA from 1 species
UUCUUGUCCUCAGGCGAUAGGCCGAUCAUCGGACGGUCGCCGGCCACCGCGCCGGCCGCCGUUCUCUGGCACCGGUGCCGCCAUUUGUGGUGGCCGGAAAAGGUAAAAAACUUCCUUUUCAACCUUCUUGCCCCCUGAGCCUAGAUCUGAGCUUAAAUCACACAAAACACCAACGAAAGUGCCCCAAAAGCACUGAAACCUUUCGGCUUCCGGUCAUCUUUCAUCGGAGAUGACACCCUCAGCCGUCCACGGUGAUGUAGGACUCAAAACAAAGGUUGUAUCUCUCCUUUUUCUAUUUAUUUUAAUUGUAUGUAUAUAAAUGCAUAAAAAAAUACGACAAUAAAAAAUAUAAAUAACAACCUUUGAUUCCUUUGUUUCUCUGCUGGUAUUUGGAAAUAUAGAGCCUUUUUAUUUCUGAUUUUUGAAAUCGAAUCCCCUUACAGUAUGCUUAUGGCUUUAUUUUAUAGCCGAAUGAAUAAGAUAAAUAAAGAAACAAAUAUUGUUUGAUUACAAAUCUUUGAUUAUUUCCUUUGUUGUUUUGUUUCCUUGCAGGUGACGAUCGGUAAAGAUUCAGAGGCUCAGUUGCGGCGCUGUUGAAAAUUUGAAACCCUAGGGUUUCAUCUUUUGUCUUGGGCCACUGUAUUUGGGCCACAACUUUGUUUUGGUUUGGGUCUUGUAGCCCGUUUGUAAUCAAACACUAUGGACUGCUUUUGUUUUAUUGUUUUAUCUACUUUUUGCUUUUAUUGGACCGGGCAAAAUUG